rnacentral:rRNA from 1 species
CGGGAGGCAGCAGUUAGGAAUCUUCCGCAAUGGGCGCAAGCCUGACGGAGCGACGCCGCUUGGAGGAUGAAGCCCUUCGGGGUGUAAACUCCUGAACUGGGGGCGAAAUCCCUGAUGAGGGGGCUGACGGUACCCAGGUAAUAGCGCCGGCCAACUCCGUGCCAGCAGCCGCGGUAAUACGGAGGGCGCGAGCGUUACCCGGAUUUACUGGGCGUAAAGGGCGUGUAGGCGGUUUGGUGCGUCUGGCGUUAAAGACCGCGGCUCAACCGUGGGGUGCGCUGGAUACGGCCAAGCUAGACGGCUGGAGGGGGUGGUGGAAUUCCCGGAGUAGCGGUGAAAUGCGCAGAUACCGGGAGGAACGCCGAUAGCGAAGGCAGCCACCUGGCCAGUUUGUGACGCUGAGGCGCGAGAGCGUGGGGAGCAAACCGGAUUAGAUACCCGGGUAGUCCACACCCUAAAC